rnacentral:rRNA from 1 species
GAGUUUGAUCAUGGCUCAGAACGUACGCUGGCGGCACGCCUAACACAUGCAAGUCGAACGCAGUAGCAAUACUGAGUGGCAAACGGGUGAGUAUAAUGUGGGAAUCUGCCUUUUGGUUUGGAAUAACACGGGGAAACUUGUGCUAAUACCGAAUAAGCCCUCACGGGGAAAGUUUUAACGCCGAAAGAUGAGCCCGCACUUGAUUAGCUAGUUGGUAAGGUAAAAGCUUACCAAGGCAAUGAUCAAUAGCUGUUCUUAGAGGAAGACCAGCCACAUUGGGACUGAGACACGGCCCAGACUCCUACGGGAGGCAGCAGUGGGGAAUCUUGCACAAUGGGGGAAACCCUGAUGCAGCGAUGCCGCGUGAGUGAAGAAGGCCUUUGGGUUGUAAAACUCUUUCGUCGGGGAAGAAAAUGACUGUACCCGAAUAAGAAGGUCCGGCUAACUUCGUGCCAGCAGCCGCGGUAAUACGAAGGGACCUAGCGUAGUUCGGAAUUACUGGGCUUAAAGAGUUCGUAGGUGGUUAAAAAAGUUGGUGGUGAAAGCCCAGAGCUUAACUCUGGAACUGCCAUCAAAACUUUUUAGCUAGAGUAUGAUAGAGGAAAGCAGAAUUUCUAGUGUAGAGGUGAAAUUCGUAGAUAUUAGAAAGAAUACCAAUUGCGAAGGCAGCUUUCUGGAUCAUUACUGACACUGAGGAACGAAAGCAUGGGUAGCGAAGAGGAUUAGAUACCCUCGUAGUCCAUGCCGUAAACGAUGUGUGUUAGAUGUUGGAAAUUUAUUUUCAGUAUCGCAGCGAAAGCGAUAAACACACCGCCUGGGGAGUACGACCGCAAGGUUAAAACUCAAAUGAAUUGACGGGGACCCGCACAAGUAGUGGAGCAUGUGGUUUAAUUCGAAGAUACGCGCAGAACCUUACCAACACUUGACAUGUUCGUCGCGACUCUAAGAGAUUAGAGUUUUCGGUUCGGCCGGACGAAACACAGGUGCUGCAUGGCUGUCGUCAGCUCGUGUCGUGAGAUGUUGGGUUAAGUCCCGCAACGAGCGCAACCCUUACUUUUAGUUGCCAUCAUUUAGUUGGGCACUCUGAAAGAACUGCCAGUGAUAAGCUGGAGGAAGGUGGGGAUGACGUCAAGUCCUCAUGGCCCUUACGUGUUGGGCUACACACGUGCUACAAUGGCAUUUACAAUAGGAAGCAAGACGGCGACGUUAAGCAAAUCCUAAAAAAAUGCCUCAGUUCGGAUUGUACUCUGCAACUCGAGUACAUGAAGCUGGAAUUACUAGUAAUCGCGGAUCAGCGCGCCGCGGUGAAUGCGUUCCCGGGUCUUGUACACACCGCCCGUCACACCAUGGGAGUUGGUUCUACCUUAAGGCAAAGCUUAAAACCUUUGACCACGGUAUAGUCAGCGACUGGGGUGAAGUCGUAACAAGGUAACC